GUGUAGCUCAGUACUGACAUUCUCCAUGGUUUUACAGGAUGAGGACGUAGCAGUGUAGCUAGAACCAGGACUGAUGUACUCGAUGGUUAUACACGAUGGGGACGUAGCAGUAUAGGUAAAAUCAUGACCAUCAUAAUAAGACAUACUCAGCUGUGGAAGCUGUGACUCAAGCUGGAGAUAUGAAAAUGUAGACUCUAUGUGGCUAUAACUAGGACCGUCCUCCAAGGCACUGAAUCCUGAUACAGACUCGAGAUGUUGUGGCAUAGGUAAAACUUGGACCGUCCUCUAGGCACUCAGCCAUAACACAAGCUUGAGAUGUUGCAGUGUAGGUAAAAAUAGGGCUGUCUCAUUAUAUCAAAGAUGUAUGUUAUCAAUUUUACUAAUAGAAUUGUGUUUAUAUUUUAAGUGUAUUAUGUAUACACAUUUAUGUCUAUUUUUGAUACAUAAAUCAUGAAGAAUUAAAGCAUUAGUCACAAAGAAGAUAUGGAAACUGAGGAAGCUUUUGACAUAUAAAACACCUCAAUGUUAUGCGAAGUCUCUUGCCAUGCAAUAGUGUCAUUAUGCCUUUAAAGAGAUUAUGGAGAAACCAGGGAUUUCACAUUUUAAUCUUAUUUCAGAUAUGUUUUGUAUUCUAAAAAUGCUUUAAUUUUUGUUUACAUUUAUUAACACAAUUAUUUCGUUGUAUGAAUUUUUGCCAUACUUGAAUUGUUGGUUUUGUACACAUUUAGAUAUCCUGGAAGUAUUGUAAGAUUUUGGUGUAUAUUGUUAUAGUUGUAGUGGAUUUACUUGUAACCUCAUGAUCACCAUGGUUGACUUGUUUUCAGCAAACUAUUUUACACUUUAUUUCGAUUGAUAUUGUGUUCCAAAUUUUUUUGAAUAUAGAAUUUAAGGUUAUAUUACGGUACCUUACACAGUACACCUGUGGUUUGUGUUUGAAUUAAGGUUAUAUGCUACCUUACACAGUACACCUGUGGUUUGUGUUUGAAUUAAGGUUAUAUGCUACCUUACACAUCACACCUGUGAUUUGAGUUAUGUCUCUUAAAGUAAAAAUCAUAGCUGGGCAUGCUUGAUCAUGUUUUGUCAUUGUGCCAUUAUUCUGCAUUUCCUGACAGCUUGUUAUGCGAGACAAUGGUAAAAUGGUUGACACAGGACUUUUCAUCACAUACGGAAGACUUUUUUCUUAUCUAAAAUUACAAAUGCAGUAAAAUGUGAAAAUUUGUUCAAGUACAUGUAUUGAUAUCUUGUACAACCUGAUUAAUUCAAAACCAGAUAUGAUUUACAGUUAAUGUCUUUAUCGGUACAAUGUUAAUUAUAUGUUGGCUGUCUUGCAUACUGCUUGUCUCUUCAAAGUGACAGAAUGGUUUCAUCAGCUGCCACAUUACAUAAUGCCAUACACUCACUUUUUAAACCAGAAUCAAGUCUGCCUAUUAGGAAAUAAUUAAACAUGAUCUGAGUGAUGAUAAACACAAUCUAAUAUUUUUGUCAGCCUUUCAAACACAGAGAACAAUAUCAACACUCACUAAGAUAUUUCACAGAUUUCUUGGUGUGUAGAUCUUUGAAAAGGCUGUAUAGAUCACAUGGCUGCAGCGUGUUAUACAGUACUACCAUGUUAAGAUCCAGAGUAAAAUCAUUACUUGAUGAAUGUGUCCUGGUGUAAUUAACCAAAUUUAGUAUAAAAUCUUGAUCACUCAGGUGCUUGUAUUAAACCUGAAAAGAAGGUUGUUUAAUGUCAUUGUAGAUAUAAAAUGAAUAUAGAUCUGUUACCACACUGUUAAUUUACACAAACAUCCUUGUCCCUUUAAGUGUUUGAAUUAGAAUCUGUAACUAGUCAUGUGUUGCUCAAUUUUAGUCAUUUGUAUUUUGUUUGAUUAUGUAUUUUUUUGUUAAUACUUUGUAAAUCUGUUAUCCAAUUUAACACAGAUAUAUAUACAAAACAAUGGUAUAAGUAUUUACUUAUGGUUGGGACCAAACCUUUCUUUCACCAUAGAACUUUU